rnacentral:rRNA from 1 species
AGUGAACGCUGGCGGUAGGCCUAACACAUGCAAGUCGAACGGCAGCACAGAGGAGCUUGCUCCUUGGGUGGCGAGUGGCGGACGGGUGAGGAAUACAUCGGAAUCUACUCUGUCGUGGGGGAUAACGUAGGGAAACUUACGCUAAUACCGCAUACGACCUACGGGUGAAAGCAGGGGAUCUUCGGACCUUGCGCGAUUGAAUGAGCCGAUGUCGGAUUAGCUAGUUGGCGGGGUAAAGGCCCACCAAGGCGACGAUCCGUAGCUGGUCUGAGAGGAUGAUCAGCCACACGGGAACUGAGACACGGUCCAGACUCCUACGGGAGGCAGCAGUGGGGAAUAUUGGACAAUGGGCGCAAGCCUGAUCCAGCCAUACCGCGUGGGUGAAGAAGGCCUUCGGGUUGUAAAGCCCUUUUGUUGGGAAAGAAAUCCAGCUGGCUAAUACCCGGUUGGGAUGACGGUACCCAAAGAAUAAGCACCGGCUAACUUCGUGCCAGCCGCCGCCGUAA